UACGUAGGGUGCAAGCGUUAAUCGGAAUUACUGGGCGUAAAGCGUGCGCAGGCGGUUUUGUAAGACAGGUGUGAAAUCCCCCGGGCUUAACCUGGGAACUGCAUUUGUGACUGCAAGGCUGGAGUGCGGGCAGAGGGGGGAUGGGAAUUCCGCGUGUAGCAGUGAAAAUGCGUAGAUAUGCGGGAGGGAAACACCCGAUGGCGAA
rnacentral:rRNA from 1 species